AAUUUCAAUCGUCCUGUUGAUAUUUGGCUCUGUUGACUAAUGAGUUUGCCGACCACUGACCUAGUGGCUCUCAUGUUUGAUGGUUGACGGUGGCUGUCAGCUGGGACCUUUGGAAUGGCUGAAACACUGCCACAUGGCCUUUCUCUGUGGCAAGAUGGUGGCUAGAUUCCGAGGGUAAGUAUCCAGAGAGAAUGAAAGCAUCAGACAGUUGCUGAGUUUUCUUUUCGAACCUCACCUCAAGAUCACGCAUGUCUUCGGUGCCACAUUGUGUUCUUCAGCUAGGAGUCACCAGGGCUGGCCUAUGUUCAAAGGGAGGGGACUUAGACCUCACCUUUAUAUGGGAGGAGCGCUAAAAGAAGGUGUGAGCCUAUUUUAAAAUUGCCACAAAUCACAUGUUAAAUCUCAAGGCAAUUUAUUAUCAUGAUAUUGGCCUGGCCUGGAGCUAAUUUCUUAGGCCCUCUGGCUUACCCUAGUUAGGAUGUACUCUUCCACUAGGCUCUUGAAUGUCUUGUGGAACCUUGUUACCUCUCUCUGAGUCUCAAUUUGUGCUUGUGAAAGAAGACAAUUACCGUAUCACCUAGAAAUAAAGGUAAUAAUUGACUAAAGGGGGGCAUCUGUAAACCACAUGCACCUGUGCUUGCAAAAACUUGUUUCAUUGUAGCAUUUUAUAAAAAAUAUAUAUACUUAUUGAAGAAGUAUAUACAUACAGAAGAGUA